CAGGGCUGCCUCAUAGCCUGCAGCUGGCUCCUCCCAAAGCAAGUGGUCCAGGAGAGAAUGAGACUGCACUCAAGAAGGAAGCUAUGGUGUUUUCACAAUCUAAUCUCAGAAGUGGCAUCCCAGAAUUUCUGCCAUACUCUAUUCUUUUGAAGCAAAGUAUUCAGUCCAGCCUGCAGGCAGGGGGACCAUGUGACUACCAGGAGGUGAGGAGCACUAAGAAGUAUAUAUGUUUUUAUGAAGAUCCAUAACUCUGUAAAUGGAUAAGGGUGUGCAACAAUUGGGAAUGCUGAGCAAGGCUUUGCCCCUAUAUCCCUAUGCACUUCUGUUGGAAGAAUGUUCAAGCCUC
rnacentral:lncRNA from 1 species